rnacentral:rRNA from 1 species
AGCAGUCGCCACGGUAAUACGAAGGGUGCAAGCGUUACUCGGAAUUACUGGGCGUAAAGCGUGCGUAGGUGGUGGUUUAAGUCCGUUGUGAAAGCCCUGGGCUCAACCUGGGAAUUGCAGUGGAUACUGGGUCACUAGAGUGUGGUAGAGGAUAGUGGAAUUUCCGGUGUAGCAGUGAAAUGCGUAGAGAUCGGAAGGAACAUCUGUGGCGAAGGCGACUAUCUGGGCCAACACUGACACUGAGGCACGAAAGCGUGGGGAGCAAACAGGAUUAGAUACCCGUGUAGUCCCUGUCUCUUAUCA